GCUUAAAACAAAACCCUUGAAUGAGGGUUUUCCUGGAAGACUAAUUCCAGCAAAGGAUUCCUAUGUAAGCAAAUACGAUUUUCAGGUGGUGCUUGCAUUGCUGAAUCUAGGAAGGGAUUUAAUAGUAGCAAUUGGAAAAUGAAUCGGAAGCUAGCAAUUUCAGAAGAGUUCCCAAAAUAUGAAUCGGAAGAAUUCCCAAAAUAUGAAUGGAGAGCUAUUAUGGAAAAGUAUCUAAUAUCCAACCUUAAACAUGUGCUACAUAAAAGGAUCUUCAUGUGUGCCGAGGUGCCGAUGAAGGUGCUCAAAUAUCCUUCGAAUAUUCCUUGUAUUUCUCUGUAUUUUAUGCAUUCCCCUAUAUUUCCAUGUAUUUCUAUAUAUUUCCCCCUCAUUUCCUUAUAUUUCAUGUAUUUCCUUGUAUUUUCCCACAUUUCCCUAUAUUGCAUGUAUUUUCCUGUAUUUGGCCUUUCUA